rnacentral:rRNA from 1 species
CGCGACCGAUCAGGUUGUUGGUGAGGUAACGGCCUAUCAAGCCUUUUACCGGUACGGGCCGUGAGAGCGGGAGCCCGGAGAUGGGCACUGAGACAAGGGCCCAGGUCCUACGGGGCGCAGCAGUCGCGCAAACUUUGCAAUACACGAAAGUGUGACAGGGCUAUCCCGAGUGCCGUCCGCUGAGGGUGGCUUUUACCCAGUCUAGCAAGCUGGGAGAAUAAGGAGAGGGCAAGUCUGGUGUCAGCCGCCGCGGUAAUACCAGCUCUCCGAGUGGUGUGGAUGUUUAUUGGGCCUAAAGCAUCCGUAGCUUGCUGAUCAAGUCCCCUGUUAAACCCAACGAAUCAAUCGUUGGAUUGCGGGGGAUACUGUCCGGCUAGGGGGUGGGAGAGGCCGACGGUAUUCCCGGGGUAGGGGUGAAAUCCUAUAAUCCCGGGAGGACCACCAGUGGCGAAGGCUGUUGGCUAGAACAUGCCCGACGGUGAGGGAUGAAAGCUGGGGGAGCGAACCGGAUUAGAUACCC